rnacentral:lncRNA from 1 species
UGGAGGGUUAAAAGGAAUAAUUUCAACAGGGUGAAGGCCUGGCACGGUGGCUCACAACUGUAAUCCAAGGACUUUGGGAGGCUGAGGUUACAGUGAGCUGAGAUGGCACCACUGCACUCCAGCCUAGGUGACAAAGCAGCAAGACGCAGUCUCAAAACAACAACAACAAAAAAAACGGGAAAACAGGUACAGACAAUAGCUGCCUGGAGUUGUACAGAAACUUGAUUGGGUAACCCUGGACCUUUCCAGGCUGUGGCCAGCAGUUGACCCUGCCUGCCUUUCCUCCAUUGUUUUCCCAUGUCUGACCUUCCCUGUUGCAAAGCAGUGGCCUACUACAGGGUCUCUCUGGAGGGAGCAAGGAGGCUCAGUGGCCCCAUUCAGCAAUUCGAAGUCCCUUUAAUUGUUUUGUGCUUCCAACCUGUUUUGUUCCCGUUCAGAUUUCUCUCGCCUUCCAAUAAAAACUUCCCUGUCCUGUGCCCCAGUCCCUCAGAGUCCACAAGAGGUUCAACUUGCUCAUCUGAUGUGUGAAUUACAUCACACAGUUGAAUGAGAAUUUGUUAAUUACAACAGAACUUUUAUAAAUA